UGGGGAAUUUUGGACAAUGGGGGCAACCCUGAUCCAGCCAUGCCGCGUGAGUGAAGAAGGCCUUCGGGUUGUAAAGCUCUUUCGGACGGGACGAAAUGGUUACGGUGAAUANCCGUGACUGAUGACGGUACCGUAANAAGAAGCACCGGCUAACUACGUGCCAGCAGCCGCGGUAAUACGUAGGGUGCGAGCGUUAAUCGGAAUUACUGGGCGUAAAGCGUGCGCAGGCGGUUCGCCAAGUCAGGUGUGAAAUCCCCGGGCUUAACCUGGGAAUUGCGCUUGAAACUAGCGGGCUUGAGUGUGGCAGAGGGGGGUGGAAUUCCACGUGUAGCAGUGAAAUGCGUAGAGAUGUGGAGGAACACCGAUGGCGAAGGCAGCCCCCUGGGUCAACACUGACGCUCAUGCACGAAAGCGUGGGGAGCAAACAGGAUUAGAUACCCUGGUAGUCCACGCCCUAAACGAUGUCGACUAGGUGUUGGGGAAGGAGACUUCCUUAGUACCGCAGCUAACGCGUGAAGUCGACCGCCUGGGGAGUACGGUCGCAAGAUUA
rnacentral:rRNA from 1 species